UACAGAGGGUGCGAGCGUUGUCCGGAAUCACUGGGCGUAAAGGGCGCGUAGGCGGCUCGGUCAGCGUGCGGUGAAAGCCCGGGGCUCAACCCCGGGAGGCGGGUGGAUACUGUCUAGCUCGAGUCCGGAAGAGGAGUGUGGAAUUCCUGGUGUAGCGGUGAAAUGCGCAGAUAUCAGGAGGAACACCAAUGGCGAAGGCAGCACUCUGGGACGUGACUGACGCUGAGACGCGAAAGCGUGGGGAGCAAACAGG
rnacentral:rRNA from 1 species